rnacentral:rRNA from 1 species
GAUGAACGCUGGCGGCGUGCCUAAUAAAUGCAAGUCGAGCGAACAGACGAGGAGCUUGCUCCACUGACGUUAGCGGCGGACGGGUGAGUAACACGUGGAGAACCGACCUAUAAAACAGGGAUAAGUUCGGGAGACCGGAGCGAAUACCGGAUAAUAUAUUUAACCGCAUGGUUCAAUAGUGAAAGACGGGUUUUCUGUCACUUAUAGAUGGUACCGCGCCGCAUUAGCGAGUGGGUAAGGUAACGGCUUACCAAGGCAACGAAGCGUAGCCGACCUGAGAGGGUGGUCCGCCACACUGGAGCUGAGCCGCGGUCCGGACUCCUACGGGAGGCCGCAGCAGGGAAUCUUCCGCACUGGGCGCAAGCCUGACGGAGCAACGCCGCGCGAGUGAUGAAGGUCUUCGGAUCGUACACCUCUGUUAUUAGGGAAGAACAAAUGUGCAAGUAACUCUGCACGUAUUGACGGUACCUCAUCAGAAAGGCACGGCUAACCCCCUG